AAGACUAUACCUUAAGGGAUCAUUUCUAUAGUUUGCUACUAGAGAAGUUUCUCUAAUCAUGUCAAGUACCCGAAACCAUGAGAAGGUGCAGUGUUGUCUUCUGAGCAUGAAGCUGGCUCUAGGUGUUGUUUCGGCAACUGCCUUCUGCCUUUGAUGAUGGUUCCUCUCUUCCUUUGGGGCAGUAAGAGGGAGAGGACACAAUCUGAAUGGU
ensembl:snoRNA U3 Small nucleolar RNA U3